UUCAAGCUAUCUACUAUCAUUUUCUCUUCUAUUCGAGAGAGAGAAAGAGAGACCGCAGCUUAUUUCUCUUUUCCUUCGUCACUUCCAUCACCCCCACACUACUUUCAUCACCACAACAGAUCUACCACCACCAUCCACUACUUCAUCACUGCAAGAACACCUUCUUCAUCUUCUUCUUCUCCAUUGACAUGUCUAAGUUAAACUCUAAUGUUAACUGUAACCCUAAAAAUUAUCUCGAUCGAGCUCUUCUAUCACCACCACCACCACCUUCGUUAAUUGAAACCCUAAAAAUAAUCACCAAUUGAUUCACGCAUAAAUCCAACAACAAUCAACAUCAUGAGCAGUUGGUUUACUCGGUCAACCAACACCUUUCUUAUUGUAUGUUGGUGCUGUUAGUGGUGGUGUUUGGAGGUGAUGCUGCUGCUGGUACUGCUACAAGGUGGUGGUGGUUUUCUCUUAACAAUUACAUGGUUGAAUAUGUUAAAGCUCAAAGGAACAGCUCGACUGAAACGACUCAAAUUCAAUUUUCUGAGAAUAGAUAAGGCUGCCGCCGAAUCAUAUGUGCUGAUAGAAUUAUUACCACCUUAUGCAUACUAAACUUUGUGGAGAGCACUUCAUUUUCUUCACAAUAUUUGUUUGUUAGCUCAACUCUGAUAUAUCUGCUACCAAAAUAGUUUUUGAGCAAUUGAUACCCUAGGAGGCUUUUAUCUAAUGUGGACUAUGUUAAGCAUAGAGCUCCUACAGUGGGAUCUGCUCCACUAAGAAUCUGACUUAUAUGAUAUGUAAUGGCACUCUCUUCUGUUUGUUUACGGAUCACUGCCAGCAUAUGAAGGCCUAUUUACUUGGAUGAUGUUGAUGCCAAUUUCGUACCCGGACCAGUGGCAUCUCGAUGUUGCGGAUUGCUGGGAUAUUCAAUGUUUCCAUCUCCGUUCUCUAGUUCUAUUGGUUUUUCCUCAUGGAAAUAAUUUGAAUUCAUUUCUUUUCCAGGCUUGUUUAUCUAUUCCCCCUUUGUUUUUUCCCGACAAAUUGUACGCGUUCUGAUCAUCUCUUGUUGUUGUUUCUGUUUCAGCAUAGAGCUCCUCCACGAAGAAUCUAAUAUAACUUCUGAAGGUAAUGAUGAGUGAAUGAUUGGCAUGCAGCUGUAGAGUCUUCCAUAUUGUCAAAGGAUGAGGCUGAGGUUAAGGGAGCUUCAAAUCCCAACAUGAGUUCUUAUGCCAUAGUUGGCUACACGAGGCUCUUAGAGUUGCUUUCAUUGAUGUUGUUGAAACUCUUAAGGAGGGUCGAGUUCAUAUAGACUACUCAAAGCUUGUUAAGGCUGAUGACAAUGGGAAAGACGAGGUGCUUGCUCCUUAUAGACCGGAGUACCAAGUUGCAGAGGAGAUAAAAUGGUAAAACAUCAAUACCAACUGCAAAAGCUUUGACUUAUUUCAAAAGGCGAAGCUAAGUAUCACUGUCCCCUACUGAUUUUGUAUUCUAUCUGAAUUAGGCAUUGAGUUGAGCAUUAAUGAGAUCUACUUGUUUGCAGGUGCUGAUGGAAAGAAAGGAGGUGUUGGGCGUCAAGUAAUGCCAUUAGGAAUGUCAUAGACUUCUUAUUAUUACCCUGGAAAGCUAGUCAAGGAUCGGAAGGCUGAAAACCUGAUUUUCUUUUCAUGUGCAAGUCAUACAUAUUUCUGGAUAACUUUCACCCUCCUUGUUGGAGGGGAUAAUUGCUAGUGGAGAUCGUAUUUCAGAUUCUUUUAUUGAUUCCGACUUCUAGUUGAUAAACUAAGGAAGGAUAAGACUCAAAAAAUGGAUGUAAAUGCAGUACACUGGAGUUCUCAGGUUUUCAGAAGGUUGUUGCUGCCUAUGAAUGCAAAAUUAUUCAAGGUGUGCUUAGCCAUCAGCUCGGUGAUAGAUGGAAACAAGGUUGUACUCGGUGUUCCUGAAACCAGAGUUGAUGAUGCAAAAUUCCAGGAGAAUGAUGUUUAUGGAAUUGUCUUCCAACUUUAUUGUCAGUUAGGACUUAAACUUAUAUUGGUAUGAACUCAGAAUAUAAACCCUUUUUUUGUGUAAUUUGAACCUAAUGAAUCAAAUUUGAGUUUACCAGUGCAAGUUUGAUUUGAUUCUCUUUUGA